rnacentral:rRNA from 1 species
UACGUAGGGCGCGAGCGUUAUCCGGAAUUAUUGGGCGUAAAGAGCUCGUAGGCGGUUUGUCGCGUCUGCCGUGAAAGUCCGGGGCUCAACUCCGGAUCUGCGGUGGGUACGGGCAGACUAGAGUGAUGUAGGGGAGACUGGAAUUCCUGGUGUAGCGGUGAAAUGCGCAGAUAUCAGGAGGAACACCGAUGGCGAAGGCAGGUCUCUGGGCAUUAACUGACGCUGAGGAGCGAAAGCAUGGGGAGCGAACAGG